rnacentral:rRNA from 1 species
AUACGGAGGGGGCUAGCGUUGUUCGGAAUUACUGGGCGUAAAGCGCGCGUAGGCGGCUUAUCAAGUUAGGCGUGAAAGCCCCAGGCUCAACCUGGGAACUGCGUUUAAUACUGAUAGACUAGAGACCGAGAGAGGGUGGCGGAAUUCCCAGUGUAGAGGUGAAAUUCGUAGAUAUUGGGAAGAACACCGGUUGCGAAGGCGGCCACCUGGAUCGGAACUGACGCUGAGGUGCGAAAGCGUGGGGAGCAAACAGGAUUAGAAACCCCAGUAGUCC